GACACCAACUUCAGGCGCCCUUUUUUUUUUUUUUUUUUUUUCCGUCAGGACGAACGCUGGCGGCGUGCCUAAUACAUGCAAGUCGAGCGGACAGAUGGGAGCUUGCUCCCUGAUGUUAGCGGCGGACGGGUGAGUAACACGUGGGUAACCUGCCUGUAAGACUGGGAUAACUCCGGGAAACCGGGGCUAAUACCGGAUGGUUGUUUGAACCGCAUGGUUCAAACAUAAAAGGUGGCUUCGGCUACCACUUACAGAUGGACCCGCGGCGCAUUAGCUAGUUGGUGAGGUAACGGCUCACCAAGGCAACGAUGCGUAGCCGACCUGAGAGGGUGAUCGGCCACACUGGGACUGAGACACGGCCCAGACUCCUACGGGAGGCAGCAGUAGGGAAUCUUCCGCAAUGGACGAAAGUCUGACGGAGCAACGCCGCGUGAGUGAUGAAGGUUUUCGGAUCGUAAAGCUCUGUUGUUAGGGAAGAACAAGUACCGUUCGAAUAGGGCGGUACCUUGACGGUACCUAACCAGAAAGCCACGGCUAACUACGUGCCAGCAGCCGCGGUAAUACGUAGGUGGCAAGCGUUGUCCGGAAUUAUUGGGCGUAAAGGGCUCGCAGGCGGUUUCUUAAGUCUGAUGUGAAAGCCCCCGGCUCAACCGGGGAGGGUCAUUGGAAACUGGGGAACUUGAGUGCAGAAGAGGAGAGUGGAAUUCCACGUGUAGCGGUGAAAUGCGUAGAGAUGUGGAGGAACACCAGUGGCGAAGGCGACUCUCUGGUCUGUAACUGACGCUGAGGAGCGAAAGCGUGGGGAGCGAACAGGAUUAGAUACCCUGGUAGUCCACGCCGUAAACGAUGAGUGCUAAGUGUUAGGGGGUUUCCGCCCCUUAGUGCUGCAGCUAACGCAUUAAGCACUCCGCCUGGGGAGUACGGUCGCAAGACUGAAACUCAAAGGAAUUGACGGGGGCCCGCACAAGCGGUGGAGCAUGUGGUUUAAUUCGAAGCAACGCGAAGAACCUUACCAGGUCUUGACAUCCUCUGACAAUCCUAGAGAUAGGACGUCCCCUUCGGGGGCAGAGUGACAGGUGGUGCAUGGUUGUCGUCAGCUCGUGUCGUGAGAUGUUGGGUUAAGUCCCGCAACGAGCGCAACCCUUGAUCUUAGUUGCCAGCAUUCAGUUGGGCACUCUAAGGUGACUGCCGGUGACAAACCGGAGGAAGGUGGGGAUGACGUCAAAUCAUCAUGCCCCUUAUGACCUGGGCUACACACGUGCUACAAUGGACAGAACAAAGGGCAGCGAAACCGCGAGGUUAAGCCAAUCCCACAAAUCUGUUCUCAGUUCGGAUCGCAGUCUGCAACUCGACUGCGUGAAGCUGGAAUCGCUAGUAAUCGCGGAUCAGCAUGCGCGGGGGGAAUUCCGUUCCCGGGGCCUUGUACACACCGCCCGUCACACCACGAGAGUUUGUAACACCCGAAGUCGGUGAGGUAACCUUUUAGGAGCCAGCCGCCGAAGGUGGGACAGAUGAUUGGGGUAAUCACAAAAAAAACGCCGCAGAUAUAGAAAAGCCCCAAA
rnacentral:rRNA from 1 species